CCCUUUGAAACCCAUGUCAUCAGUGAGGUGAGACCAUAGAACCCUUUGAAACCAAUUUAAGCAGUGAGGGGAGACCAUAGAACCCUUUGAAACCAAUUUAAGCAGUGAGGGGAGACCAUAGAACCCUUUGAAACCCAUGUCAUCAGUGAGGUGAGACCAUAGAACCCUUUGAAACCCAUGACAUCAGUGAGGAGAGACCAUAGAACCCUUUGAAACCCAUGUCAUCAGUGAGGUGAGACCAUAGAACCCUUUGGAACCCAUGUCAUCAGGGAGGUGAGGCUAUAGAACCCUUUGAAACCCAUGUCAUCAGUGAGGUGAUACCAUAGAACCCUUUGAAACCCAUGUCAUCAGUGAGGUGAGACCAUAGAACCCUUUGAAACCCAUGUCAUCAGGGACGUGAGACCAUAGAACCCUUUGAAACCCAUGUCAUCAGUGAGGGGAGACCAUAGAACCCUUUGGAACCCAUGUCAUCAGUGAGGUGAGACCAUAGAACCCUUUGGAACCCAUGUCAUCAGGGAGGUGAGACCAUAGAACCCUUUGAAACCCAUGUCAUCAGGGAGGUGAGACCAUAGAACCCUUUGAAACCCAUGUCAUCAGUGAGGUGAGACCAUAGAACCCUUUGAAACCAAUUUAACCAGUGAGGUGAGACCAUAGAACCCUUUGAAACCCAUGUCAUCAGUGAGGUGAGACCAUAGAACCCUUUGGAACCAAUUUAAUCAGUGAGGUGAGACCAUAGAACCCUUUGAAACCCGUGUCAUCAGUGAGGUGAGACCAUAGAACCCUUUGAAACCAAUUUAACCAGUGAGGUGAGACCAUAGAACCCUUUGAAACCCAUGUCAUCAGUGAGGUGAGACCAUAGAACCCUUUGGAACCAAUUUAAUCAGUGAGGUGAGACCAUAGAACCCUUUGAAACCCGUGUCAUCAGUGAGGUGAGACCAUAGAACCCUUUGAAACCAAUUUAACCAGUGAGGUGAGACCAUAGAACCCUUGUCAUCAGUGAGGUGAGACCAUAGAACCCUUUGGAACCAAUUUAAUCAGUGAGGUGAGACCAUAGAACCCUUUGAAACCCAUGUCAUCAGUGAGGUGAGACCAUAGAACCCUUUGGAACCAAUGUAAUCAGUGAGGUGAGACCAUAGAACCCUUUGGAACCCAUGUCAUCAGUGAGGGGAGACCAUAGAACCCUUUGGAACCCAUGUCAUCAGUGAGGGGAGACCAUAGAACCCUUUGAAACCAAUUUAUUCAGUGAGGGGAGACCAUAGAACCCUUUGAAACCAAUUUAUUCAGUGAGUGGAGACCAUAGAACCCUUUGAAACCCAUGUCAUCAGUGAGGUGAGACCAUAAAACCCUUUGAAACCCAUGUCAUCAGGGAGGUGAGACCAUAGAACCCUUUGAAACCAAUUUAAUCAGUGAGGUGAGACCAUAGAACCCUUUGAAACCAAUUUAAUCAGUGAGGUGAGACCAUAGAACCCUUUGAAAUCCAUGUCAUCAGUGAGGUGAGACCAUAGAACCCUUUGAAACCAAUUUAAUCAGUGAGAUGAGACCAUAGAACCCUUUGAAACCAAUUUAAUCAGUGAGGUGAGACCAUAGAACCCUUUGAAAC